UUAAACGCUGGCGGCAUGCCUUACACAUGCAAGUCGAACGGCAGCACGGGGAACCUGGUGCGAGUGGCGAACGGGUGAGUAAAAGCAUCGGAACGUGCCCUGGAGUGGGGGAUAACGUAGCGAAAGUUACGCUAAUACCGCAUAUUCUGUGAGCAGGAAAGCAGGGGAUCGCAAGACCUUGCGCUCUGGGAGCGGCCGAUGUCGGAUUAGCUAGUUGGUGGGGUAAAGGCCUACCAAGGCGACGAUCCGUAGCGGGUCUGAGAGGAUGAUCCGCCACACUGGGACUGAGACACGGCCCAGACUCCUACGGGAGGCAGCAGUGGGGAAAUUUUGGACAAUGGGCGCAAGCCUGAUCCAGCCAUGCCGCGUGAGUGAAGAAGGCCUUCGGGUUGUAAAGCUCUUUCGGCCGGGAAGAAAUCGCAUGGGUCAAUACCCUGUGUGGAUGACGGUACCGGAAUAAGAAGCACCGGCUAACUACGUG
rnacentral:rRNA from 1 species